GGGCUUCGUUGUUUACCUUUAUACACUACAUAUUCACUUUCGUUUCGUGGUUUACCAAAAUACACAACAACAUAUUCACUAUGUACUUGGUAACAGUAAUUAAUUAAUUGAAUAGAAAAUAUUAUAACAAAUAUUAUUGGAUGCCGAAUUGACGUCGAAUAGGUGCCGAUUUGACUAGAUGCCAAUUUAACCAGGUGCCGACUUGACUUGUACGUUUCAAUUCCUCUGCGAUCGUUUGCGGUAUUUUCUUGAGAAAACCUAUUUUCCAUCAUCAAAGAGAAGAAGAAACUGCUUUAAAAAAAUUCGUAAGGGUUCCACGGAACCCGGUGUCUCGCCUACUUUUUCUGUUAAUCGCAGACUCAACAAAAAUGAGGAAAAACAUCAAUAAAAAUUUUCCUCACGAUACUGUCUUUUGAUUGAAAGAAGCUUCCAAGUUUGGUAAAAAAAUCCAGGAUAGUUUAUGAAUCUAAUAAAUGUUUUAUAAACUUUAACUGCAGACUGUAUGUAAUGUUAACUGGAAGAAAAACU
rnacentral:lncRNA from 1 species